rnacentral:pre_miRNA from 1 species
CGGGGAAGUUACCUGGUGUAUUGUUUUUAAUCAACCAAUCACUGGAUAGCUUUCCUAGA